AUGAAUCCUAACUUCCGCGUUACUCAUCCAUGUGCAGAGGGGAAUAGCAGGUUAUGCGUCUUGGUGAGAGACUACUACUGUUACAUGCUGCAGACACGACCUGGGAUAUUCAAUCCCAUACUCUGUGGAGCACAAUUGCUCCAGCAAUGGGGGGUGGACAUGUACAUCAAGAUUGAGAGCUGUAGAUUGAAGUGGUACAGGAAGAACCAGACAAAGAUCCGUGCUGACCUGUAUAAAGAAGUUGUUGAUGCAAUUACAUCCGAAGAGACCCGGGCAAGCGUUGUUGGAGUAAGGAUAGUGCUCCCUGGAACGUACCCAGGUGGCGACCGCGACAUGAAGCGGAGGCAUAUGGAUGCCAUGGCAAUAGUCCAUACCUACGGGAAGCCUGACAUCUUCUUGACCAUGACCUGCAACCCUAACUGGGAAGAGAUAACGAAUGAGUUGUUUCCUGGUCAGACAGCGCAAGACCGACCUGAUCUUGUGGCUCGUGUGUUCCAUGGCAAGCUAGAGGCUAUGAAAGAGAUGUUGUUCAAGAAGAAUAUCCUGGGUGUUGUUGUCGCACAUGUAUACAUAGUCGAGUUCCAGAAGAGGGGCCUCCCCCACGCACACUUUUUGUUGAUCAUGGAUUUUGCAGUACGACCGACUUAUUUCUGCCGAACUCCCAGACAAGCAGAAGUAUCCUGA
rnacentral:rRNA from 1 species